rnacentral:tRNA from 1 species
GGACCCUUGGCGCAGUGGUAGCGCGUAUGAUUCCAGCUUCUGCGGAACAUCCAUAAGGUCGUCCGUUCGAUCCGGGCAGGGUUCA